UGGGGAAUAUUGGACAAUGGGCGAAAGCCUGAUCCAGCCAUGCCGCGUGAGUGACGAAGGCCUUAGGGUUGUAAAACUCUUUCGUCGGGGACGAUAAUGACGGUACCCGAAGAAGAAGCCCCGGCUAACUUCGUGCCAGCAGCCGCGGUAAUACGAAGGGGGCUAGCGUUGUUCGGAAUUACUGGGCGUAAAGCGCGCGUAGGCGGUUUUGCAAGCCAGAGGUGAAAUGCCUGAGCUCAACUUAGGAAUUGCCUUUGGGACUGCGAGGCUUUGAGGACGAGAGAGGUGAGUGGAAUUCCCAGUGUAGAGGUGAAAUUCGUAGAUAUUGGGAAGAACACCGGUGGCGAAGGCGGCUCACUGGCUCGUUUCUGACGCUGUAGCGCGAAAGCGUGGGGAUCAAACAGGAUUAGAUACCCUCGUAGUCCCUGAGCGGGCUGGCAAGGCGCAU
rnacentral:rRNA from 1 species